UAUUUCGACUAAGACAUCAAAUUUUGCUACAAAACCAAUUCGAAAAUCCUAAGCAGAUUACAAUUGCAUCCACCAUGUUUACAGAUCAAAAUCUCUAUCACUACAGUCUCCUCUCUCUCUUUUUCAUCGCCUCACCCACCUUCCUAGCCUUGCAAUUCCUCACCGCCCCUUAUGGAAAACACCACCGCUCCGGUUGGGGUCCGACCAUUUCACCACCGUUAGCGUGGUUUUUAAUGGAGAGUCCAACACUUUGGCUCACGCUUCUCCUCUUUCCCUUUGGGAAAAAUCACAACAACCCAUUAUCCUUUAUCCUCAUUUCUCCUUACCUUUUUCAUUACAUCAAUCGUACUAUCACUUACCCAAUUAAGCUCGCUGGAAAAUCAAGAAUUGCUCGCCGGAAAAUCAAGAAUCCUCCCCCGGAAAGUGGUUUCCCGGUGAGUAUUGCGAUGAUGGCUUUUGUGUUUAAUCUAUUGAACGCUUAUGUACAAGCUAGAUGGGUUUCUCAUUACGCUGAUUUUAAUACCGAUGAGUGGUUUUGGAUCCGGUUUGCCGCCGGGAUAGUGGUUUUCGCCGCCGGUAUGACGUUAAACGUUUGGGCUGAUAAAGUGUUAGUGGGCCUGAAGAGUGAAGGGGGUGGAUACAAGAUACCUAGAGGUGGGCUUUUUGAAUAUGUGAGUUGUCCAAAUUAUUUGGGGGAAAUAGUUGAGUGGUUGGGCUGGGCUUUGAUGACUUGGUCCUGGGCUGGGCUUGGGUUUUUUCUGUAUACAUUUGCUAAUUUGGUUUAAGAUACCAAAAGGUGGGCUUUUUGAAUAUGUGAGUUGUCCAAAUUAUUUGGGGGAGAUAGUUGAGUGGUUGGGCUGGGCUUUAAUGACUUGGUCCUGGGCUGGGCUUGGGUUUUUUCUGUAUACAUUUGCUAAUUUGGUCCCUAGAGCUUGUGCUAAUCAUGAAUGGUACUUGCAGAAAUUUGGAGAAGAUUAUCCUAGGAAAAGAAAAGC
rnacentral:lncRNA from 1 species